UACGUAGGAGGCGAGCGUUGUCCGGAGUUACUGGGCGUAAAGGGUGCGCAGGCGGCCGCGCGCGUGGGUGGUGAAAUCUCCCGGCUCAACUGGGAGGGGGCCAUCCAGACGGCGUGGCUUGAGGCUCGGAGGGGGGCGUGGAAUUCCCGGUGUAGCAGUGAAAUGCGUAGAGAUGUGGAGGAACACCGAUGGCGAAGGCAGCCGCGGGGGCCAGCACUGACGCUCAUGCACGAAAGCGUGGGGAGCAAACAGG
rnacentral:rRNA from 1 species